rnacentral:lncRNA from 1 species
UUGAGAGACGAAUCUUUUAAUGUGGCAGAAUCUCCUGAAUUAAGUGGCCCACAUGCACCCAUCAUUGUCUCAAAGACUUCUGAUCAGCGUGCACGAGUUCCAAAUGACUCAAGAAGUCUGUCGGGUGUCCUCGGGAAACCCGAAUCAUCCACGUUUUAACUCAUACAGGAUCAACAUGGAGUUACCACAACAUUACAAUAUUUGUUACAAAAAUAACUUACAUCAGAGUGCGGAAGAUUUAUAACUUAAUUUACAACAUAUGAUGAAGUACAAACUUAACUAAAAUUUUAAAAGGUGUGUACAGUAGCGGAAGCAUCCUAGGUGAAGCUUCUAAGGUAGAAGAGGUGGAUAAAUCAUGUCGCGCCCACCGACAUGACCUCCAUUAGCAGUCUAAGUCAGCACCUGCAACAGGGGUUAUAAAACCCUGAGUACAAAAGUACUCAACAAGACUUAACCGACUAGAAAAGAGGUGAAGACUCAGGUAUGCAGGCUAUAGGGAUUCAAAGUAAGGCUUUAGCAAGAUCCAAACAUUUCUUUUGCAUAAAAGCUUACUAAGAGUAAAACCUACUUUCAAGUUUUAACUCAAAAUCAUCAUUUAUGACUAACCAAAGCUAUUAUCAAACUUGCAUAAGCAUACCACAUCUUUCUUAUACCAAAGAUUCACUUAUUACUACGAUGAUGGUACGAGGAUUGAGGCUCCAUAUCCGAGGAAACACGGCGAUUCGAAUCGAUUAAACCCAGCUGGGGAUUCAGUACCACACGACAUAUGUAGAACUUAAUCUUGCAUAUGUCAACCUUUUCUAUAGAUCCUCCCAUACAAGAACGGGUCCAGCGUCACCCGAGAGUACAGUACACCACCAUCCUACAGCCAAUCUAGAUGUUUCCCGGUCAUCUCAGAUCCGUAAGGUGGGUACACGCUACUCUCGCCAUCUUUCCACUCCCAGUACGCGGUUAGCCGUUCUCAAGUAUCGGAAUAGCUAUAGGUAAGGCUUACCAGCGCAUGUGGGCUGUACUCAAAGUUCUCAAUCACAACAGGCCAAUCAACGGUACGGUCCUUAAUCGACACAGUUGGAGACACUACUUUAAGACUCCAUUCUUAAAGCAAGUCCACCGACCGGUCUCAAGUUGAAAUAUUAUUGACCAUAAAAGUAUGCCACAACAACCCUUCAAACUUUCUCAUUUGAAAGCCUAUCUAAUAAGCAGGGCUAAGCAUACUAAGCAUUUUCAUAAAGCAAGUACCAAGGUUAAUAUUGAAAUCAUCAAGGUAGAUAAUGCAGCAAAUAGGAUUCACUCAACUCCUAUUCACCUAAUGCAUCAUAUUAACUCAAGUGAUAUAAAUAACUUUAUGAAAAUACAAGGAUAGGGUUUAAUGUCCGGGGCUUGCCUUGGCCGGAAGGGAAGUCCGACAACUCAGCAAAACCAGAUGAACCCACAAACUCGGAAGCAACCCACUGAGGAUUAGAUUCCUCCGGAGCGUAGUCUACACGUAGAGUUGCAUAUGCAUGAUCAAUGAGAUGCUCAUGAUAUGAUAAAGACAGGUUACAUGUUCUUGGAUGAUAACAACAAUCAUAACUACCUCGAGUACAACUUACCUUCACGGUAUAGAGACAAACUAACUUAGCUAUCAAAACAUAAAUUACUACUAAGCAAAUUUUAUCAUCUUCAUUAAACAAGGUUGUGAAGCUAUCAUACAACAAAGAUCAUUUAUAUGAAAUAAACCAUAGCAUAUCAUGCCAAGUAACCACUGGUUGUCAAUCAAUCCCAAAGAUCAAUCAAAACCUAAAAUGAUUAGGUUUUCUAUUUAUCUUAAUCAAUUCUUAAUUAAAUAUUAAUGGCAGUAACUAAGUAUUAACAUCAAACAAUAAUUAAGUGCCAAAGGUCAUAAAAGAUAAUGACCUCAGGUCAUCACACAAUCCCAAAAGCACUCAAAUUCUAAUUUGGAAAUUAAGUUACUCAUUAUUUAAGUAAAGGCUAGCUAAAAACAAUCAACCCUAUUUGCACACAUAACCAGGACAGCAGCAUAUACACAACUUCAUUCAACCAUAAUUAGAUAUCCAAGCAUCCAACAAAGGUGAUAUUAGGCUUUCUGGAAAGCUUAUAUAAUUUUCUACAACUUUGUUAUUAUCUUCGAGAACUGAUUUAAUAGAUAACAUGGCCAAACAGUAUGAAUAAACAAUUCUGUCCAGACCUUGGACAGAAUCAGACAUUAAGCUUCAUACAUCUAUAACCAGAGUUCUAGAUCACCAAAAUUCAUGAUCCAUAACAUUUUGGAAAGCUUAUGAAAAUUACUACAAUUCAUCUUUUAUCAUGAAAACAUAAUUCAUAAGUUUAGUAGGUUGAAAUUGCACAACUACAGAAACUGAUCCAGGAUUUGACAGAAAGAAACCAUUUCUGAAACUUAAAUUUAAACAGGCAUAACUCAGAAACUAUAGGGCCAAAUGCCACCAAAAUUUAACACCAGCUAGAUACAUGAAUUCUAUACAACUUUGUUAUAGACAAGUUUCAUAUCCAACAUUAUUUACCUAGAGCAAUUCAUAAGGUUCCAGAAACUGUCCAGAAAUCACUAAUAAUUUAAUUGUAGACAAAUAACAUUUCAUUUAUGUUCCAAACUUGGACCUGGGCAAAACCCAGCUCACCAAAAGUUGAAAUACAUCAAAGAGAUACUAGAAAAUAUCAUGGUCAUCCCUAAAUAAAUUCUUUUUAUGUCUUUAUUAAUUUAUUUAGAUAAAUAGACAAAGUAAUAACCAUAUAUCAAAAGUACACAAUAAAUUCUGAGAAAACUACAGCAGCUCAUAUAUGCUCUCCAAAGUCUACUGUAUAAAUUUCAUGCCAUUUGAAUAAGUAUAGCAGUUUCCAUGAAAAAGAUAAAUUUCCAUCACAAGAAAGCAUGUAGCAACAAGAUAAAUAAGAAACUCGACAUUUUCUACAAACACAUAGCUAAAUUAUGUAUCUGUAUGAUAUAAAGACCUCAUAUAAAGGCAGAGGAACCAUAUUUUACAUUUAUUUAUUUUUAGUUUAAUUUUAAACUAUUUAAUAAGCACUAAACAAGAUAAAUUAAUAACUUAACCAUAUAUCAUCUACUGAACAUGAAAUUUCUACUGUAACACUCACAUAACAUCACGAGAACACCAUAAAAAUUUCAGGGCAAUAGGAUCUACACAGAAUAAGAUAUGAAUUUCUCCUUUUUAAACAUAAUUAAAAGGCAUAAAUCAUAACCAAUUAUUUUACUACAAAACAUGGUCAGUUUCAUAUUUUUAAUAAAAACUAGACAUCUCAAGGAGCACAACAAAAUUUGGUUCACCAAAAUUGGAGUUGCCAAACUCCAGAUAUGAAUUUUCAAACAUUCAACAAAACAUCUACAAACAAGUCCUUAUAGCACUAUUCACCUGAGUCACAGUCUGUGCAGAAAGACCCCUAGAGAACUUCAAAUUGUUGCGCGUGGUCCCUGGUCGCGAAUCCAGAGCAGAGGAUGUCGGAGAAAACCUCUUUUCCGGCCGAUGGACGCUUGAUGGCAGCGAGGGAAAGCGUUGGGGAGCAUCCUGAGGCUCGUGCGCUCGCGCUGGUGUGUGUGGCUUGGCCGGAGAAGGUUUAUGGCCUCCUGGCCACGUGCGCAGGCUCCCAUGGCGGCCAUGGCGGAGCUCUGUGACGGAAAACCGGCUCACGGCCGAGUCCGACGAGGGAAGAGAGUAUUAGCUGGCUUAGACGAUGCUCAAGGAUGCUGCGGAGCAGAGGAAAACAACAACGGGGCUGAGGUGGGAGGAGCGAGAUGAAUUCCAUCGGCGUGGCGUUUUCGGUCGCAGAAAUGAAGAAACUCGACGUCGGUCGUGGGGGCGCUCAAGAGGACGAGGCGAAGGGGUCGCGGACGUCCACGUCGCGCGGUGACGCGGCCGGCAAGCAGCUGCGUGGCGACAGGGCGCGCGCGCGGCUCUGCCCGCUCUGCGGCCGGCGGGACAGAGGAGCCCC